rnacentral:rRNA from 1 species
AGGAUUCCCCUAGUAACGGCGAGUGAACAGGGAAGAGCUCAAAUUUGUAAUCUGGCGUCCCUUGGGCGUCCGAGUUGUAAUCUAUAGAAGCGUUUUCCGUGCUGGACCAUGUCCAAGUCCCUUGGAACAGGGUAUCAAAGAGGGUGACAAUCCCGUGCUUGACAUGACCACCAGUGCUCUGUGAUACGCUCUCUACGAGUCGAGUUGUUUGGGAAUGCAGCUCAAAAUGGGUGGUGAGUUCCAUCUAAAGCUAAAUAUUGGCGAGAGACCGAUAGCGAACAAGUACCGUGAGGGAAAGAUGAAAAGCACUUUGGAAAGAGAGUUAAACAGUACGUGAAAUUGUUGAAAGGGAAACGAUUGAAGUCAGCCGUGUCCGAGUGGUUCAACCGGUUCUGCCGGUGUAUUCCUCUCGGACGGGUCAACAUCAGUUUGGAUCGGUGGAAAAGGGCGGUGGGAAUGUGGCAGCUCCGGCUGUGUUAUAGCCCAUCGUCGCAUACGCCGGCCCAGACUGAGGCAUGCAGCUCGCCCUCGUGGCUGGGGUC